rnacentral:tRNA from 1 species
GCAUAGUGUAGUGGUUAACAUGGCUGCCUUCUAAGCACUUGGUCUGGGUUCAAUUCCCACCCAAUGCC